AUUGAACGCUGGCGGCAUGCUUUACACAUGCAAGUCGAACGGCAGCGCGGGCUUCGGCCUGGCGGCGAGUGGCGAACGGGUGAGUAAUGCAUCGGAACGUGCCCAGUAGUGGGGGAUAGCCCGGCGAAAGCCGGAUUAAUACCGCAUACGACCUGAGGGUGAAAGCGGGGGACCGAAAGGCCUCGCGCUAUUGGAGCGGCCGAUGUCGGAUUAGCUAGUUGGUGGGGUAAAGGCUUACCAAGGCGACGAUCCGUAGCUGGUCUGAGAGGACGACCAGCCACACUGGGACUUGGACACGGCCCAGACUCCUACGGGAGGCAGCAGUGGGGAAUUUUUGACAAUGGGGGCAACCCUGAUCCAGCCAAGCCGCGUGCGGGAAGGAGGCCUUCGGGUUGGAAACCGCUUUUGUUCGGGAGGAAAACCUCUUGGCUAAUACCCCGGGGGGAUGACGGUACCGGAAGAAUAAGCACCGGCUAACUACGCG
rnacentral:rRNA from 1 species